rnacentral:rRNA from 1 species
GAUGAACGCUGGCGGCGUGCUUAACACAUGCAAGUCGAACGGAAAGGCCCAAGCUUGCUUGGGUACUCGAGUGGCGAACGGGUGAGUAACACGUGGGUGAUCUGCCCUGCACUUCGGGAUAAGCCUGGGAAACUGGGUCUAAUACCGGAUAAGACGAUGGUUUGGAUGCCAUUGUGGAAAGUUUUUUCGGUGUGGGAUGAGCUCGCGGCCUAUCAGCUUGUUGGUGGGGUAAUGGCCUACCAAGGCGUCGACGGGUAGCCGGCCUGAGAGGGUGUACGGCCACAUUGGGACUGAGAUACGGCCCAGACUCCUACGGGAGGCAGCAGUGGGGAAUAUUGCACAAUGGGCGCAAGCCUGAUGCAGCGACGCCGCGUGGGGGAUGACGGCCUUCGGGUUGUAAACUCCUUUCGCUAGGGACGAAGCGUUUUUGUGACGGUACCUGGAGAAGAAGCACCGGCUAACUACGUG